UACAGAGACUGCAAGCGUUAUUCGGAUUCACUGGGCGUAAAGGGUGCGCAGGCGGUUGGGUGUGUCAGAUGUGAAAUCCCGAGGCUCAACCUCGGAACUGCGUCUGAAACUACUCGACUAGAGUACUGGAGAGGGUAACGGAAUUCACGGUGUAGCAGUGUAGUGCGUAGAUAUCGUGAGGAACACCAGAGGCGAAGGCAGCCCCCUGGGUCGAUACUGACGCUCAUGCACGAAAGCGUGGGGAGCAAACAGG
rnacentral:rRNA from 1 species